GAUGAACGCUAGCGAUAGGCUUAACACAUGCAAGUCGAGGGGCAUCACGAAUUAGCAAUAGUUUGGUGGCGACCGGCGCACGGGUGCGUAACACGUAUACAACCUACCUUCAAUUGGGGAAUAACCUGGAGAAAUUUGGACUAAUACCCCAUAGUAAACGGAAGAGGCAUCUUUUUUGUUUUAAAGAUUUAUUGAUUGGAGAUGGGUAUGCGUAGGAUUAGCUAGUUGGUAAGGUAACGGCUUACCAAGGCGACGAUCCUUAGGGGUUCUGAGAGGAAGGUCCCCCACACUGGUACUGAGACACGGACCAGACUCCUACGGGAGGCAGCAGUGAGGAAUAUUGGUCAAUGGUCGAGAGACUGAACCAGCCAAGUCGCGUGAAGGAAGACGGCUCUAUGAGUUGUAAACUUCUUUUGUACAGGAGUAAAGUGAGACACGCGUGUUUUAUUGCAAGUACUGUACGAAUAAGCAUCGGCUA
rnacentral:rRNA from 1 species